rnacentral:rRNA from 1 species
AUUGAACGCUGGCGGCAUGCCUAACACAUGCAAGUCGAACGGCAGCACAGUAAAGAUUUCGGUCUUUAUGGGUGGCGAGUGGCGGACGGGUGAGUAAUGCGUAGGAAUCUGUCCUGGAGAGUAGGAUAACCCGAGGAAACUCGGGCUAAUACUGCAUGAUAUCGAGAGAUCAAAGGCAGGGGACCCUUCGGGGCCUUGCGCUCUAGGAUGAGCCUACGUCGGAUUAGCUAGUUGGUGGGGUAAAGGCCUACCAAGGCGACGAUCCGUAGCUGGUCUGAGAGGAUGGCCAGCCACACUGGGACUGAGACACGGCCCAGACUCCUACGGGAGGCAGCAGUGGGGAAUCUUGGACAAUGGGGGAAACCCUGAUCCAGCGAUGCCGCGUGUGUGAAGAAGGCCUUCGGGUUGUAAAGCACUUUAGUUGGGGAAGAAAAGUAAUGAGUGAAUAACUGAUUGCUCUGACGGUACCCAAAGAGUAAGCACCGGCUAACUCUGUGCCAGCAGCCGCCGUAA